AUUACUUUGGCAGAAUAGUGCAUUAAAUUUAGAAUUUAAAUAUAUAUAUUAUUAGAUAAUAUAAGUAAUA
rnacentral:tRNA from 1 species